rnacentral:tRNA from 2 species
GCCCCCAUCGUCUAGCGGCUAGGACAUCGCCCUCUCAAGGCGGAAACAGGGGUUCGAUUCCCCUUGGGGGCACCA